UACGUAGGGUGCAAGCGUUAAUCGGAAUUACUGGGCGUAAAGCGUGCGCAGGCGGUGAUGUAAGACAGAUGUGAAAUCCCCGGGCUCAACCUGGGAACUGCAUUUGUGACUGCAUCGGCUGGAGUGCGGCAGAGGGGGAUGGAAUUCCGCGUGUAGCAGUGAAAUGCGUAGAUAUGCGGAGGAACACCGAUGGCGAAGGCAAUCCCCUGGGCCUGCACUGACGCUCAUGCACGAAAGCGUGGGGAGCAAACAGG
rnacentral:rRNA from 1 species